rnacentral:rRNA from 1 species
AUGGGACUUGCUAGGGUACCAGGUAUACAUGUUGGUGAACUGUUACUGCAGGGGAGGGAACUGAAGUUGCUGUUGGAAGUGCCCGUUUGGCAUCCGGAUGACAAACAAAGUUCCAGAACAAUCGGGUCAUACUAUGCUGACAACAUAGGCACGGAGCCUCUCGGAGAAGAUGAAGCAGUGCGGGAAGUAGAGGGCCACCACGAACCCCGCAACGAAUCCGACAACUGCUCCGAUGCUGGACUGAUCAUUGAUCCCGUGCAGCCUUAUUCAUCUCACUCUCCAUCUCCUCCUCCUGGGACACUUGUCCAAUGGUGUACCACAAAGCUCCUGGUUUCCAGCAAAGUAUGA